rnacentral:rRNA from 1 species
AUUGAACGCUGGCGGCAUGCCUUACACAUGCAAGUCGAACGGCAGCACGGGAGCAAUCCUGGUGGCGAGUGGCGAACGGGUGAGUAAAGUAUCGGAACGUGCCCAGUCGUGGGGGAUAACGUAGCGAAAGUUACGCUAAUACCGCAUAUGAUCUCUGGCUGAAAGCGGGGGAUCGCAAGACCUCGCGCGAUUGGAGCGGCCGAUAUCAGAUUAGGUAGUUGGUGGGGUAAAGGCUCACCAAGCCGACGAUCUGUAGCUGGUCUGAGAGGACGACCAGCCACAUUGGGACUGAGUCACGGCCCGGACUCCUACGGGAGGCAGAAGUGGGGCAGUUUGGACAAGGAGCGCAAGCCUGAUCGCGACAUGCCGCGCACAGGAUCAAUGCCUUCGGGUUGUAAACUGCUUUUGUACGGAACGAAAAGGUUUGGCCUAAUAACCUGAGCUCAUGACGGUACCGUAGGAAUAAGCACCGGCUAACUACGUGCCAGCAGCCGCGGUAA